CCUUGUACACACCGCCCGUCACACCAUGGGAGUUGGUUCGACCUUAAGCCGGUGCGCCAACCUAGCAAUAGGGGGUAGCCGACCACGGUCGGGUCAGCGACUGGGGUG
rnacentral:rRNA from 1 species